rnacentral:rRNA from 1 species
AGUGAACGCUGGCGGUAGGCCUAACACAUGCAAGUCGAACGGCAGCACAGUAAGAGCUUGCUCUUACGGGUGGCGAGUGGCGGACGGGUGAGGAAUACAUCGGAAUCUACUUUUUCGUGGGGGAUAACGUAGGGAAACUUACGCUAAUACCGCAUACGACCUACGGGUGAAAGCAGGGGAUCUUCGGACCUUGCGCGAUUGAAUGAGCCGAUGUCGGAUUAGCUAGUUGGCGGGGUAAAGGCCCGCCAAGGCGACGAUCCGUAGCUGGUCUGAGAGGAUGAUCAGCCACACUGGAACUGAGACACGGUCCAGACUCCUACGGGAGGCAGCAGUGGGGAAUAUUGGACAAUGGGCGCAAGCCUGAUCCAGCCAUACGGCGUGGGUGAAGAAGGCCUUCGGGUUGUAAAGCCCUUUUGUUGGGAAAGAAAAGCAGCAGGUUAAUACCCCGCUGUUCUGACGGUACCCAAAGAAUAAGCACCGGCUAACUUCGUG